rnacentral:lncRNA from 1 species
CUGCAGUACCAAAUGGCCGCUACAAGUUCAGUUCAUUGUAAGUUCAUGCCCAUCGUGGGUUGGCUGUGGCUCAUCCACAUUAUCUCCAUUCCAGGACCAAGGCAGAAGGAGCAGCCUUUAUCUGAUACAUGCUGGCUUCAUGAGCUGUGAUGGACAACAUGAUGGCCCUCAAGUUCAGAAGCAAUCACUCGCACAUCAUUGGUCAAACCAAGAUGGUUAGUGAAGCAAAGCCUUGGCCAGGUCUUCGCCCCUCCGCCCUCCCCAGAUGCGGAAUCCUCGCCCCUCCGCCCUCCCCAGACGCGGAAUCCUCGCCCCUCCGCCCUCCCCAGAACGCGGAAUCUUCAGGAGCUGACAGAAUGACUGGAGGGGAAACAGUUCCUCUAGGUGGAUUCAGCUUCCUCUGAGCCAUUUCCCGAACCAACAAGAGGGACCACAUCCUCCUCUAUUAUGAGAAUGCAUGAGGUGGGCGCCUGAACCACACAAGACAGAUGCCUGACUCCAGGUGGCCAACCGGUGACCUGAGCACGAGCACAGUGCCUGACCUCCAGGAAGUGACUACCUUGCCCAGAGACUGACCAUCCCCAGCUGCCAACCUCACUCCCCACUUCAACCACUAUAACGAGUACCCCCGACCUCACCCAGGGCUGGCUGGUCAGUUUCCGCCCCAUCAGUCUGGCCUGCUCGCCUUCCUUAGGUAGAUUAGUUUACUUUUUCUCUGAUCUGCCUGGCUUUUGUCUCUCAAUAAACUUGCCUAUUGUCU